UUUUUUCGGCAUUGCAAUUUUGUUAUUGGCCAGAAGCCGGCAAUUACUGGCUAACGGAAACCAUGGCACAGAUACAAAGAUGAGUCUUCUACCUAGCUCUAUGGCCUGUUGUUGACACACAUAUCGGCCCUCUCGUUGGCUAGAAUGGUCCCACCUGAUAUCGCCUCCUCCUGUCUGCCUUCCAUCUUUGAGGACAUGUAUUUCCAUGGUCACUUCACUAUCUUGUCACUAUAAUAGACAAUCUUUCUUUUAACACUGACGCCUCACACGUGAGGGGGACGCACACACACGCUGCGUUUGAGUGGUAAGGCUGAAGCAAUCGACUGUAGACAUAAACUGAGAAGUGAAGUCGGGGGAGGUGCAUCUGCUACAGACGAAAGUGGGACACUGAUGUGGUUUUCCAACGGUAAGGCUCAGUGCAACAUGGCAGUGUUGCCAUUGUUAAUAAAAGUUAUUUUUAAUGUCAAAAUAAACAUGCCUUCAAUCCCCAUAUCACACAAACUGUAAAUAUAUCAGUUGGUGAGAGAGAGAGAGAGAGAGAGAGAGAGAGAGAGAGAGAGAGAGAGAGAGAGAGAGAGAAAGAGAAAGAGAAAGAGAGAGAGAGACUCAAAUAUCACAUUCAUUUGUACAUAUCCACUGUAUACAUAUGAAUCGCUGCAGAGAGGAAGAGGUGAAGCGAGAGGAUUUUCUCCACCCAUUAUCUGUCCACGUGAGAUAAGCUCUGUAUGGUAUGGAGGUCUAUGAGAGAGUGUUGAAUUAAGGGAGGCUUAUUUGAUCGAAUAGAAGUUUCGUAAUGUUUAGGCUGUCACACAUGUACUGAUAUAACUGGAUGCACGUGGCUUUCCGGCAACUUUGAGAAAAACAUGUUAGCUGUGCUUGUUGUUCUCAUGCUUAUGUGCCCUCUCAUUGGCUGGAGUGGUUCCUCCUGAUCUCGCCUCCUCCCACCUGCCUUCAAUCAUUGAUGACAUGUAUUUCCAUUUUUAGAGCGGUCACUCGGUUAUAAUGUCAAUAUAAUAGAUCAUCUUUGAUCGCGGCAAAGUUGCUUCCUCUUUCAUUCACGUCUUCUCGUUCGCGUGGGUCAAAUAAACAUUCAAAUGAUUAGCUAACAAAUAGUGCCUCCCUCAAUGCAGGCUAUGGCUGCAAGUUGCAGCAGGUGAGGAGCAACUGCAGAAAAUGUUGCUGAGCCGCUGAGAAACGGGGCAUCGGUCAACGUAACUAUCUGAUUUCACCUCUCUCUUUGAGGCUGCAACCAAGGGCAAUUAGCUCAAGAACUGCGCUGGUAACAUGUCUCUGGGCAUGGUGAAGGAGAGAGACAAGGGCAUCCUGGAGCACUGGGAUGACGACAACGCUCAGGUCAAGGGAGGACUCAUCUUCCUGCACAACGCAGACUCAUACGGGCACAUGCAUAUUGCGGUCCUCCUGAUCAAGUUUCAUGCAGUGGACCAGCACCAGUCAGUAUGUAGCCUGACACCACUGGAGGUGAACUGAUGGACAGUAGACCAGCACCAGUCAGCAUGUAGCCUGACACCACUGGAGAUUUUGAUGAACAGUAGACCAGCACCAGUCAGUAUGUAGCCUGACACCACUAGAGGUGAACUGAUGGACAGUAGACCAGCACCAGUCAGUAUGUAGCCUGACACCACUGGAGGUGAACUGAUGGACAGUAGACCAGCACCAGUCAGCAUGUAGCCUGACACCACUGGAGGUCUUGAUGGUACAGUAUUUGUGUAGAAUAAGGGAAAAAAACAGUAGGUGACCAGUAAAAUGCAGACAACUUUAGUGAACUAUUUACACAUAACAUAUACACAAGAAUCCAGUAUAAGUAGGAGCAGAUCAGUCUAUAGUUUACAGCAACCUGAGCGUGACCAUAUCCCUGUCCAACGGCAGUAGUUCAGACACCUCUAUCCCAACGCCGAUGGCCACGCACCCCAGGAAUCCCUCAUCCUCAUACCCAUCCUCUUCCUCCUGCAUGUCCAGCUGAAGUUCCCUGAUCUGACUCUUCUCCUCCUGUACUCUGGCCUCUAGGGACGCCAGCACCUUGUGGUAGAAGCUUGGGCUGUAGCGGGCUUGACAAGAAGCUCAUACAGGGCCUGGGGACUCCUGCGGCUACCAGGGCUCCGAUGUACCUGUCUAGAGGUGAGAGGUGCACCAACUUUUAAAUGUAACAGGCACAAACUAUUAUGUAGGAUCAACAUCUCCAACAGAUUCAUUUACAGUUGUGUCAUUUAGCAGAGGCUCUUAUCCAAUUCGCCUUGCUCAAGGGAACAUCGACAGAUUUUUCACCUAGUCGGCCCGGGGAUUCAAACUAGCGACCUUUCGGUUAAGUUCAGAUUGUAUCAAUAAUAGCAAUACAUGGCAUGCAUCAAAUAAAAAUGUCUGUGAAUUUCA